rnacentral:rRNA from 1 species
UACGUAGGGUGCGAGCGUUAAUCGGAAUUACUGGGCGUAAAGGGUGCGCAGGCGGCGUCGCAAGUCAGGCGUGAAAUCCCCGGGCUUAACCUGGGAACUGCAUUCGAGACUGCAUUGCUAGAGUAUGGGAGAGGGAAGUGGAAUUUCCGGUGUAGCGGUGAAAUGCGUAGAUAUCGGAAGGAACAUCAGUGGCGAAAGCGACUUCCUGGACCAAUACUGACGCUCAUGUGCGAAAGCGUGGGGAGCAAACAGG